GUGUCAGCAGCCGCGGUAAUACGAAGGGGGCUAGCGUUGCUCGGAAUCACUGGGCGUAAAGCGCACGUAGGCGGCUUUUUAAGUCAGGGGUGAAAUCCUGGAGCUCAACUCCAGAACUGCCCUUGAUACUGAGAGGCUCGAGUUCGGGAGAGGUGAGUGGAACUGCGAGUGUAGAGGUGAAAUUCGUAGAUAUUCGCAAGAACACCAGUGGCGAAGGCGGCUCACUGGCCCGAUACUGACGCUGAGGUGCGAAAGCGUGGGGAGCAAACAGGAUUAGAAACCCUGGUAGUCC
rnacentral:rRNA from 1 species